ensembl:lncRNA
GCCUGAAGACUGAAAAAGAAGAGUUUGCAUCCUCAGAUACAGCUGAAAUAACUUGUCUUCUUGGGCAGAGCGUCCAUAGAAGGAAGUAUUUAAAUAUUUAUGUCACUGGGGAAGCCAGAAAAUACCUGAACAAAACUCUCAUGUUGGCUGCAAUUUUUUUUCUCUUGCUUCAUUGCACAAAAGAGGAAAAAAAAUAUUGUGCAGAAAAGCUGGAGGGAUGAAACAUACAGUGCCAGUGUCCCUGUGCAAUCAUUU